AACUUUUAACAAUGGAUAACUUGGCUCUUAUAUCGAUGAAGAACAUAGCAAAAUGUGAUAAUUAAUGUGAAUUGCAGAACUCUGUGAAUCAUUAAAUAUUUGAACGCAUAUUGCACUUCUUUUUUUAUAUAAAAAAAGAAAAAGAAGUAUAUUUAUUUGAGAA
rnacentral:rRNA from 1 species